UAAUUGAUUUUUCGGUAUGCC
rnacentral:piRNA from 1 species